rnacentral:tRNA from 1 species
GCCAGUUUGGUCUAGUGGUUAAAGCACCAGGCUUGAAACCAGGAGACAGGGAGUUCUAGUCCCGCAUUAGGUA